rnacentral:rRNA from 1 species
UUAAGUUAUUAAGGGCGCACGGUGGAUGCCUUGGCACUAGAAGCCGAUGAAGGACGUUACUAACGACGAUAUGCUUUGGGGAGCUGUAAGUAAGCUUUGAUCCAGAGAUUUCCGAAUGGGGAAACCCAGCAUGAGUUAUGUCAUGUUAUCGAUAUGUGAAUACAUAGCAUAUCAGAAGGCACACCCGGAGAACUGAAACAUCUUAGUACCCGGAGGAAGAGAAAGAAAAUUCGAUUCCCUUAGUAGCGGCGAGCGAAACGGGAAGAGCCCAAACCAACAAGCUUGCUUGUUGGGGUUGUAGGACACUCUGUACGGAGUUACAAAGGACGACAUUAGACGAAUCAUCUGGAAAGAUGAAUCAAAGAAGGUAAUAAUCCUGUAGUCGAAAAUGUUGUCUCUCUUGAGUGGAUCCUGAGUACGACGGAGCACGUGAAAUUCCGUCGGAAUCUGGGAGGACCAUCUCCUAAGGCUAAAUACUCUCUAGUGACCGAUAGUGAACCAGUACCGUGAGGGAAAGGUGAAAAGCACCCCGGAAGGGGAGUGAAAUAGAACCUGAAACCGUGUGCUUACAAGUAGUCAGAGCCCGUUAAUGGGUGAUGGCGUGCCUUUUGUAGAAUGAACCGGCGAGUUACGAUUUGAUGCAAGGUUAAGCAGUAAAUGUGGAGCCGUAGCGAAAGCGAGUCUGAAUAGGGCGUUUAGUAUUUGGUCGUAGACCCGAAACCAGGUGAUCUACCCUUGGUCAGGUUGAAGUUCAGGUAACACUGAAUGGAGGACCGAACCGACUUACGUUGAAAAGUGAGCGGAUGAACUGAGGGUAGCGGAGAAAUUCCAAUCGAACCUGGAGAUAGCUGGUUCUCUCCGAAAUAGCUUUAGGGCUAGCCUCAAGUGAUGAUUAUUGGAGGUAGAGCACUGUUUGGACGAGGGGCCCCUCUCGGGUUACCGAAUUCAGACAAACUCCGAAUGCCAAUUAAUUUAACUUGGGAGUCAGAACAUGGGUGAUAAGGUCCGUGUUCGAAAGGGAAACAGCCCAGACCACCAGCUAAGGUCCCAAAAUAUAUGUUAAGUGGAAAAGGAUGUGGCGUUGCCCAGACAACUAGGAUGUUGGCUUAGAAGCAGCCAUCAUUUAAAGAGUGCGUAAUAGCUCACUAGUCGAGUGACACUGCGCCGAAAAUGUACCGGGGCUAAACAUAUUACCGAAGCUGUGGAUUGUCCUUUGGACAAUGGUAGGAGAGCGUUCUAAGGGCGUUGAAGCAUGAUCGUAAGGACAUGUGGAGCGCUUAGAAGUGAGAAUGCCGGUGUGAGUAGCGAAAGACGGGUGAGAAUCCCGUCCACCGAUUGACUAAGGUUUCCAGAGGAAGGCUCGUCCGCUCUGGGUUAGUCGGGUCCUAAGCUGAGGUCGACAGGCGUAGGCGAUGGAUAACAGGUUGAUAUUCCUGUACCACCUAUAAUCGUUUUAAUCGAUGGGGGGACGCAGUAGGAUAGGCGAAGCGUGCGAUUGGAUUGCACGUCUAAGCAGUAAGGCUGAGUAUUAGGCAAAUCCGGUACUCGUUAAGGCUGAGCUGUGAUGGGGAGAAGACAUUGAGUCUUCGAGUCGUUGAUUUCACACUGCCGAGAAAAGCCUCUAGAUAGAAAAUAGGUGCCCGUACCGCAAACCGACACAGGUAGUCAAGAUGAGAAUUCUAAGGUGAGCGAGCGAACUCUCGUUAAGGAACUCGGCAAAAUGACCCCGUAACUUCGGGAGAAGGGGUGCUCUUUAGGGUUAACGCCCAGAAGAGCCGCAGUGAAUAGGCCCAAGCGACUGUUUAUCAAAAACACAGGUCUCUGCUAAACCGUAAGGUGAUGUAUAGGGGCUGACGCCUGCCCGGUGCUGGAAGGUUAAGAGGAGUGGUUAGCUUCUGCGAAGCUACGAAUCGAAGCCCCAGUAAACGGCGGCCGUAACUAUAACGGUCCUAAGGUAGCGAAAUUCCUUGUCGGGUAAGUUCCGACCCGCACGAAAGGCGUAACGAUUUGGGCACUGUCUCAACGAGAGACUCGGUGAAAUCAUAGUACCUGUGAAGAUGCAGGUUACCCGCGACAGGACGGAAAGACCCCGUGGAGCUUUACUGUAGCCUGAUAUUGAAAUUCGGCACAGCUUGUACAGGAUAGGUAGGAGCCUUUGAAACGUGAGCGCUAGCUUACGUGGAGGCGCUGGUGGGAUACUACCCUAGCUGUGUUGGCUUUCUAACCCGCACCACUUAUCGUGGUGGGAGACAGUGUCAGGCGGGCAGUUUGACUGGGGCGGUCGCCUCCUAAAAGGUAACGGAGGCGCUCAAAGGUUCCCUCAGAAUGGUUGGAAAUCAUUCAUAGAGUGUAAAGGCAUAAGGGAGCUUGACUGCGAGACCUACAAGUCGAGCAGGGUCGAAAGACGGACUUAGUGAUCCGGUGGUUCCGCAUGGAAGGGCCAUCGCUCAACGGAUAAAAGCUACCCCGGGGAUAACAGGCUUAUCUCCCCCAAGAGUUCACAUCGACGGGGAGGUUUGGCACCUCGAUGUCGGCUCAUCGCAUCCUGGGGCUGUAGUCGGUCCCAAGGGUUGGGCUGUUCGCCCAUUAAAGCGGUACGCGAGCUGGGUUCAGAACGUCGUGAGACAGUUCGGUCCCUAUCCGUCGUGGGCGUAGGAAAUUUGAGAGGAGCUGUCCUUAGUACGAGAGGACCGGGAUGGACAUACCUCUGGUGUACCAGUUGUCGUGCCAACGGCAUAGCUGGGUAGCUAUGUGUGGACGGGAUAAGUGCUGAAAGCAUCUAAGCAUGAAGCCCCCCUCAAGAUGAGAUUUCCCAACUUCGGUUAUAAGAUCCCUCAAAGAUGAUGAGGUUAAUAGGUUCGAGGUGGAAGCAUGGUGACAUGUGGAGCUGACGAAUACUAAUCGAUCGAAGACUUAAUCAA